UACGUAGGGGGGCUAGCGUUGUCCGGAUUUAUUGGGCGUAAAGAGCGUGUAGGCGGCCAGGUAGGUCUGCUGUGAAAACUCGAGGCUUAAUCUCGAGAUGUCGGCGGAAACCAUCUGGCUAGAGUCCGGAAGAGGAGAGUGGAAUUCCUGGUGUAGCGGUGAAAUGCGCAGAUAUCAGGAAGAACACCCGUGGCGAAGGCGGCUCUCUGGGACGGUACUGACGCUGAGGCACGAAAGCGUGGGGAGCAAACAGG
rnacentral:rRNA from 1 species